rnacentral:rRNA from 1 species
GACGGAGGAUGCAAGCGUUAUCCGGAAUGAUUGGGCGUAAAGCGUCCGCAGGUGGCAGUUCAAGUCUGCUGUCAAAGACCGGGGCUUAACUUCGGAAAGGCAGUGGAAACUGAACAGCUAGAGUAUGGUAGGGUCAGAGGGAAUUCCUGGUGUAGCGGUGAAAUGCGUAGAGAUCAGGAAGAACAUCGGUGGCGAAGGCGCUCUGCUGGACCAUAACUGACACUCAGGGACGAAAGCUAGGGGAGCGAAUGGU